GGGUCGCUAGCUCAGUUGGUAGAGCAGAUCCCUCUUAAGGAUAAGGUCCUGGGUUCAAUCCCCAGGCGACCCACAA
rnacentral:tRNA from 4 species